GCGGAAGUUGUAUUUUCUUCUUUACGUUUGUUCAGCCUGUCAUUAAACAGUUGGUAGUUUGGCGCUUCACUGUCUCCCUUUCUUCUGUCCCUUUUCCAGAAAUGUAUUUUGCGCCACAAAGUAUACAUAGAGCUUCGCAUCGAGCGUCCUAAACGCUCAAAAGGCCUGUGUGUGCACUUUGUGCAUUUUUUUCUAGAUGGUCUAGCUGGCGAGGGUGGCGCAUGCCUUAGAGAAGUUAACUGUUUGUUCAGUUGCACUAGCUAGCGCUCACUAGGGUUGUAUAGCUGCACUACAAAAGUCUGUAAAGUUAGUGUUGUUGCUUAGCUGUAAGCCCGAGGUUUCGUGGGCAUGGCUUGCGGCCACACGGGUCUUCUCCGUGCCGGAAUCGAAGAGGACGGGCCACGUGUUGCGGGGUGGCGGCGUAUAGCUUCAGGUUUUAGCUGACACACAGGGUUAGCUCACAAUAGGCAGGCAACAGCUGAUAGCCGUCCUCUUACGACUGCGUCAGGGACAUGGACCCAUCCGAAUGGCCUUGCGACCCGACCCCAUUAUUUCGUGACGUAGAUAGCCCGCGCGCGUGAGUGCGCGUGCUAUCGAGCGAAAUGUGGAAUGACGGAAGCAAACGGCCUUCGGACAUUACCUCGCCAGCUAUUAGGCACUAACCCGCUCUACGCAGCACCUCGACGCCGGACGUCGCCUGCUGUUCUCGUCGGAGCUGGGCCGGGCAGCAGCUACAAGCAUCACUCGCACCGCGCAUGGUCUACCGUGUUCCCUCGUCGGUGUUGCCUUGUGGCCCUGCACCGGGAUCCCGAGGUCCGCUUUCGAGAUUGCGGACCACGAGUCGGAAGGAUAUCGAGUGUGCUGCUCCGUUUGCCAUCCUCCCAACGUCCCCCACCGGAGAUGGCUUUGAGCGCCUCUUACCGUGGCUGACCGCGUUGGCUCCUUUGCAUUUCCACGUUCAUGGUGUCCCUCUGCUACGGGGGACUUGUUUGCUACUACUGCCCACGUGUAAGAUGGAUAUCCAGCUCGCUGCUCCACGUUUGCCAUCCUCCCAACGCCCCCCUCAGGAGAUGGCCUAGAGCACCGCUCGUACCCUGACCGACCGUUCCACUUAGACGGUGCGGUCUCGCCGGUAGACGAGAUCGCUCGUCGCCCUUCUUAGCUACGGGAUCCCGACGUCUGCGUUCGAUUGAAGCCCAUAAGUUAUCCAGUGGGCUGCUCCCCGUUUGUCAUCCUCCCAACGUUCCCCUCGGGAGAUAGUCUAGAGCAACACUCGUACUCUGGCGCACCGUUUAAGUUACCUUCCCUCACCCAUGGCGUCCUGCUGGCAGUCGGAACCUUGCUCCUCGCCCGCCACUACUGAUCACCGUUUUGGAUGGCGGUGAGCGAGGAGAACGUCCGAGGCAGUUUUGCCAAAAGAUCACAUGCUUCUGAGCAACCAUCCUUCCACGGCUGUGGUCGUUUGCACAUCGGCCGGCAACUGGGCAUCCAAGUCUGAGUGUGGCCACUAACCCCAGGACCUGCGCAGCAACCCCUCGUCACGGCGAGCGUCGUCUCUGCGAGCUUCGCAUCGAGCGUCCUAAACGCUCAUCAGGUGGUCUUUGUGCAUAUUCUAGAUGGUCUAGCUGGCGAGGGUGGCGCACGCCUUAGGGAAGUUAACUGAUUCUUCGGUUGCACUAGCUAGCGCUCACUAUACUAUAGGGUUGCUUAGCUGUAAGCCCAAGGUUUCGUGGGCAUGGCUUGCGGCCACAUGGGUCUUCUCCGUGCCGGAAUCGAAGAGGACGGGCCACGUAUUGCGGGGUGGCGGCGUGUAGCUUCAGGUUUUAACGGAUAUAAGGCUUAGCUCGUACUGCGCAGGCUACAGCUGAUAGCCGUCCUCUACGAGUGCGUCAGGGACAUGGACCCUUCCGAAUGGCCUUGCGACCCGACCCCACUAUUUCGUGACAAGGUAGCCCGGGCGCGUCAGUGCUAUCGAGCGAAAUGUGGAAUCACGGAAGCAAACGCCAUUCUGAAACUGCCUCGCCAGCUUUUAGCUAUUGCGGUGACCUUACGUUGCCUACGGUCUGGAGCGGAGCCCGGCCGUGCAGCAGCUACGGUGAGUGGUCCAUUUCUUUGCGGUUCCAGCUGUUUUUUUCCUGUUGUUUACUUUCCUCCUUGCGUCGCAGAUGAUGACCUUGAUCACCACUCGUGCCGUCACCGACCGUGUUAAUGCUUUUGCAUUCCCUCGGCGGGGAAGUGUUACUGGUGGACUGGACUUCGUUACUCACCCGGCACUACUCCUGGUUCCUACCGUCUGCUUCUGAAGUGCGCCAACUGUAGCGGCCCUCACGUAGCCUCGUCGAAAGACUGUCCCCGCAUCAAGAUGCAGCGCGCGGUUCUGAAGCAAAUGGCCGGAGACAAUACGGCCCACAGGGGGGCAGCCGAAGUAGUCCGGCGUCGACGUCGACACUAUCGUACGUCUUCAAAGAAGGCGCAUGCGCGAAGCGAUAGUACCCGGUCCAAUACGGUACCGCGUAGUCGCGCCGCCAAAGGGCCCAACACUUCCACGAGGGAAUCAGAUAAGACUUUCUUUAGAGGAAUGGCCUACGCUACCGAGCCGCUCCCUUGCUAAGGGACCUCAGGUCGCGGCCCCACCGGAACCUUCUCCGGCCAUUGAUGAGUCACCUAAGACAGAUCAUCAAGUCAUCUCGGUGCUACGUUCCCUCAUGGUGCCCAUCCGAACGAUUUUAGUGGACAUGGGGACACCGUCUGCUCGACGCGCAAUUAAAGUGCUGGACGCCUUAAGCCCAGUGCUCGAAACCCUCAACUAGAAAAAUGGCUGCCCAUACCCCAUCCUUCUGAACAGAAGUCAAGGCAGCGUCCGUCAUCCAGUGGAACGCCAGAGGGCUAAAAUCACGAAUUUCGGAUUUCCGUCAGUAUGUGUACACCAAUGUGUUUCUACUCGUCGUCAUUUGUGAGCCCAACUUGUCGAAACUAAUCACUGUCAGAAUACAAAUGUAUCAUGUCAUCAACAAAUAGUGCAUGCAGCAAAAUCAGUUUUUUCGUCGUGAACUCGUCUAUGUUUUGCAACCAAUUGCGCUCCACGACGACAAU